GAUGAACGCUGGCGGCGUGCCUAAUACAUGCAAGUCGAACGAAACUUCUUUAUCACCGAGUGCUUGCACUCACCGAUAAAGAGUUGAGUGGCGAACGGGUGAGUAACACGUGGGCAACCUGCCCAAAAGAGGGGGAUAACACUUGGAAACAGGUGCUAAUACCGCAUAACCAUAGUUACCGCAUGGUAACUAUGGAAAAGGUGGCGAGACUACCGCUUUUGGAUGGGCCCGCGGCGCAUUAGCUAGUUGGUAGGGUAAAGGCUUACCAAGGCAAUGAUGCGUAGCCGAAUUGAGAGGUUGAUCGGCCACAUUGGGACUGAGACACGGCCCAAACUCCUACGGGAGGCAGCAGUCGGGACUCUUCCGCCCUGGGCGCCCGCCUGCUGGCGCCCCGCCGCGUGGGUGACGAAGGUCUUCGGAUCGUAAAACCCUGUUGUUAGAGAAGAACGUGCGUGCGCGUCCCUGUUCCCGUUUCGCCGGUCUCUCCCCCGAAAGCCCCGGCUCCCUACGUG
rnacentral:rRNA from 1 species